GGACCAGACUCCUACGGGAGGCAGCAGUGGGGAAUAUUGCACAAUGGGGGAAACCCUGAUGCAGCGACGCCGCGUGAGUGAAGAAGUAAUUCGUUAUGUAAAGCUCUAUCAGCAGGGAAGAAAAUGACGGUACCCGACUAAGAAGCCCCGGCUAACUACGUGCCAGCAGCCGCGGUAAUACGUAGGGGGCAAGCGUUAUCCGGAUUUACUGGGUGUAAAGGGAGCGUAGACGGCGAUGCAAGCCAGAUGUGAAAGCCCGGGGCUCAACCCCGGGACUGCAUUUGGAACUGUGUGGCUGGAGUGUCGGAGAGGCAGGCGGAAUUCCUAGUGUAGCGGUGAAAUGCGUAGAUAUUAGGAGGAACACCAGUGGCGAAGGCGGCCUGCUGGACGAUGACUGACGUUGAGGCUCGAAAGCGUGGGGAGCAAACAGGAUUAGAUACCCCUGUAA
rnacentral:rRNA from 1 species